rnacentral:lncRNA from 1 species
AGCUUUCUAAAAUCUCUUUAGGGGUGUGCGUAGGCUCCUGUGUCUAUGCCUGCUUUUGACUGCCCAGUUGAAGCCUCUUCCUAUGCCUUUUAAAAUUUCACGCACUAUAAGGAGGAAGAGCUCAGGGCUCCCAAAACUUUUUAUUUAGAGGGAAGAAUGCUAGGGAGAUGGGUAUGCAGAGGGUUGACCAAAUUGGAAGAAAAUAUUUAUUCUGUAGUUUGGUGUUGGAAAAGGGAAUUUUCCAAUCAGCCACACCUCAGUGUUGCGGCAAAAUAAUUCUUGGCUCCCCUGGAAACGCAUGGGCAAGGUAGGGCAGAGCUGCUGCUGCUGAUACUGCCACCACCCUGGGCUUCCUGCUGACUCUGGGCUACUCCCUGGGGACAACAGAUUUGCAUUGACGUCCGGGGCUGUCCAGAGGCCCUCAAGAGCCAGUUGUGAGCUGAGCCCAGUAUGGGAAAGAUCUACCUUCUGGAAGCUACUACUACGUGGUGCUUGGAAAGAGGACUCAGGAGAGUGCAGCUUGCUCUGUGAGUGGGUGACAACCUCUUGGCGACUCAGGCUCAGCUGAGGAUGGUGCCAGUGUGCCGGAGACAGCCGUCAUACUGCCGGAUAGAGUGGCUCACUUGCAUGUAUUUGGAACAAAAAAAGGAGAUGCCUGGCAGCCCCGCUCUCUGCAGUGCUGUUGAGCCACCAAUUUUUGUGGUUUUGUGACCACAAGUGCUGACUGAUGCGACAUGACCCCAGUCUUGUCAGUGAAUCAUCACCAGGCUGCUUACUGGAAACUGGAUGCAGCAAGGAAAUAGGAUUUAACCGCUCUCUGCCUCCCAGGAGCCCUGAAAUCAGCAUUCCCAGAGGAAAGAAGAUGGCCAUCUGGGCUUGGCUUCCGGCUCCCCCCAUCUGGCUGGAACACACAUCAGUCACCCCUGUGUAACCUCCUCUGUGCCUUUCCCAUGGAGCACUGUGUCAUAUCACAAGUAGAACUACAAGAAGAUAUUUCUCCUCAGGGCAGAGGCUGGGUCUUCCGAUUGAAUCUCCCUUCUUUCUUCAUUGAGAUCCUCUUCUUCUGGAAGCUGGUUUCACAUGGUGGCUUAGAUUUUUCCAUCUUUGUAUCUAGCACCAUUUGAAAUCAGUGUUUUAGGAGUAAGAAUUGCAGCACAGCCAAGGGUGGACUGCAGAGGAACUGCUGCUCAUGGAACUGGCUCCUCUCCUCUUGCCACUUGAGUCUGUUCGAGAAGUCCAGGGAAGAACUUGAAGAGCAAAAUACACUCUUGAGUUUGUUGGGUUUUGGGAGAGGUGACAGUAGAGAAGGGGGUUGUGUUUAAAAUAAACACAGUGGCUUGAGCAGGGGCAGAGGUUGUGAUGCUAUUUCUGUUGACUCCUAGCAGCCAUCACCAGCAUGAAUGUGUUCGUAGGGCCUUUGAGUGUGGCGAUUGUCAUAUUCUGUUGGAUAACAAUGUAUUGGGUGUCGAUUGUCAUGGGGCAGGGGAGAGGGCAGUACACCUGGAGGACCAUUUUGUCCACAUCGACACCAUCAGUCUGCUCUUAGAGGAUGCCCUGGAGUAUUCGGCGUUGAUUGCGGGGCACCCGAAAUCAGACUUGCCACCUGGACUGUCGAGGUGCAGACCCUGGGAGCACCACUGGCCCAUCUCUUACACAGGCUGACCGAUUUCUCCUGGUGUUCAGAGUCUGUUUUUGUCUAGCACCAUUUGAAAUCGGUUAUGAUGUAGGGGGAAAAGCAGCAGCCUCGAAGCCUCAUGCCAACUCUGGGCAGCAGCAGCCUGUGGUUUCCUGGAAGAUGGAUGGGCAGAGAAUAGGGAAGGAAGAUCAUGCUUUUCCCUACUAACUUCUGUAACUGCAUGUAUGAUACAUUAUUGCAGAGGUAAGAGAUAGUUUAAUGGAUUUUUAAAAACAAAUUACUAUAAUUUAUCUGAUGUUCUCUAGUUGCAUUUUGCUGAAAUGUAGUGCUGUUCUAAAUUCUGUAAAUUGAUUGCUGUUGAAUUAUCUUUCUGUUGAGAAGAGUCUAUUCAUGCAUCCUGACCUUAAUAAAUACUAUGUUCAGUUUAUCA